UACGAAGGGGGCUAGCGUUGUUCGGAAUUACUGGGCGUAAAGGGCGCGUAGGCGGUGUGUCAAGUCAGGCGUGAAAGCCCCGGGCUCAACCUGGGAACCGCGCUUGAGACUGGCACGCUCGAGUUCGGGAGAGGAUGGUGGAAUUCCAGGUGUAGCGGUGAAAUGCGUAGAUAUCUGGAGGAACAUCAGUGGCGAAAGCGACUUCCUGGACGAAUACUGACGCUCAUGUGCGAAAGCGUGGGGAGCAAACAGG
rnacentral:rRNA from 1 species